AACGAACGCUGGCGGCAGGCUUAACACAUGCAAGUCGAACGCCCCGCAAGGGGAGUGGCAGACGGGUGAGUAACGCGUGGGAAUCUACCGUACCCUACGGAACAACAGUUGGAAACGACUGCUAAUACCGUAUACGCCCUACGGGGGAAAGAUUUAUCGGGGUAUGAUGAGCCCGCGUUGGAUUAGCUAGUUGGUGGGGUAAAGGCCUACCAAGGCGACGAUCCAUAGCUGGUCUGAGAGGAUGAUCAGCCACAUUGGGACUGAGACACGGCCCAAACUCCUACGGGAGGCAGCAGUGGGGAAUAUUGGACAAUGGGCGCAAGCCUGAUCCAGCCAUGCCGCGUGAGUGAUGAAGGUCUUAGGAUUGUAAAGCUCUUUCACCGAUGAAGAUAAUGACGGUAGUCGGAGAAGAAGCCCCGGCUAACUUCGUGCCAGCAGCCGCGGUAA
rnacentral:rRNA from 1 species